CAGCCGCCACGAUGCCACUUGCCACCAGUUUGGCCAUAUUUCAGAGCUGCAACAUCACUGGAGUGCCCAAAAGCACAAGGUGUGCAAUACUCAGAGACAUGGCCAAGGUAAGAAAGGCUGAAAGACGACCACCACUGAACAAGACACACAAGCUGAAACGUCAAGACUGGGCCAAAAAAAUAUCUCAAGACUGAUUUUUCUAAGGUUUUAUGGACUGAUGAAAUGAGAGUGAGUCUUGAUGGGCCAGAUGGAUGGGCCCGUGGCUGGAUUGGUAAAGGGCAGAGAGCUCCAGUCCGACUCAGGCGCCAGCAAGGUGGAGGUGGAGUACUGGUUUGGGCUGGUAUCAUCAAAGAUGAGCUUG